GCCUUGUGUACUGGGUACGACCUUUUUAAAGUAAUUAUACAAAUGCUAGCGUUGUGCCGUUUGUUAUAGUUGUAUCAGUGGUCUGCAAGUUACUUUUGUUCCUUUGUCAUGAUUGAUAUCAUUUUUGUGGUGGUAAAUUCUUGUCAACUACAGAGACUGGAAGAUGAAGGAGAGGCAUAAAGUUUUGGAAGGAAAAACACUCAAGGGGAUCUCUUGCUAGGUCCGACAGAGAAGCACUGGUCUAAUGUAGUAUUGUAGACUAUAUAAAUGUCUGAUCAUGUAUAUGUGUUUAAUUACUCCAAAUGAAGUACAUUACAAUCUCAAAGAUUCCAAAUAAGUGUUUUUCAUUUUGUAAAUUAUGAAUUGUAACAUUGGUUUGAAUUUCAUUUUAGUUUGGAACCUGUAGUACAAUUUCACAUGAAUUUUUUUUGUUGAAGCUGUUAAAAAAAUAUUGUCAUUGGCGUCCAAUUUGACGCCCAAUAUUUUUUUUUAAACCUGGUGGCAAUUAUUUGCGACACGUUACUUGCCGUUGCAAACCCGUAGUAAAUCGUAUUUGCGUCGCACUCACAGUGUCGCAUAUAAUCGACCAACAUUUACGAUGCAUAGUUAUUGCGAUGUGUUACUUGCCGUCGCAAGCCCGUCGUAAAAGGUAUAUU
rnacentral:lncRNA from 1 species